rnacentral:lncRNA from 1 species
GAAAGGCCCAAUAGAGCCAAGGGUUUGGCCUCAGUCGGGUUGGGAUUGUGGUUCAUAGAAUCUCUGUGAUCCGCUGAAUCUCUUCUCCAUGAACCUCUGAAAAAGUUCUGUUUUCUCUUUGAACUCCCCAUCCUAAUGCCUUUGUGCCAAGGCCUUUGGUUUUGAUUACCGCGGGAUUAUAAAGUUGUGAUUUCUAUUUCUGUUGCUGUGCUGCUCCGAUCUCAAAGGAAGAAGGAGACAGAAGGAGCGACUUGAGACUUCAAGUCCAGCCCUGUGGCACACGGCCAGCAGAGUCCCCACUGACCUUAAUGGAAGAG